GAUGAACGCUGGCGGCGUGCCUAAUACAUGCAAAUCGAGCGAACAGACGAGGAGCUUGCUCCUCUGACGUUAGCGGCGGACGGGUGAGUAACACGUGGAUAACCUACCUAUAAGACUGGGAUAACUUCGGGAAACCGGAGCUAAUACCGGAUAAUAUAUUGAACCGCAUGGUUCAAUAGUGAAAGACGGUUUUGCUGUCACUUAUAGAUGGAUCCGCGCCGCAUUAGCUAGUUGGUAAGGUAACGGCUUACCAAGGCAACGAUGCGUAGCCGACCUGAGAGGGUGAUCGGCCACACUGGAACUGAGACACGGUCCAGACUCCUACGGGAGGCAGCAGUAGGGAAUCUUCCGCAAUGGGCGAAAGCCUGACGGAGCAACGCCGCGUGAGUGAUGAAGGUCUUCGGAUCGUAAAACUCUGUUAUUAGGGAAGAACAAAUGUGUAAGUAACUAUGCACGUCUUGACGGUACCUAAUCAGAAAGCCACGGCUAACUACGUG
rnacentral:rRNA from 1 species